rnacentral:tRNA from 1 species
UCUCUGGUGGUCCAGUGGUUAGGACUCAGUGCUUUCACUGCUGAGGGCUGGGGUUUAAUCCCUGGUUGGAGAA